rnacentral:lncRNA from 1 species
UUCUAAGUUUUAUUAAUGUCAAUGGAAGAUGCCUAUAUUAAUGAAAAUUAUUUUGAAACUAUUCUGAUUCUUUGGAAUUCUAUAAAUAUUCUUGGAGAAAAUUAAAAAAACAUAAAAUAUCUGUGAACAACUCACUCAUCUGAUGAGAUUAUAAAUAAAAGAUCCCCUGUCCCUAUUCCAGAUAGAAUAUUUUAGAAAGUUUCACUGUUUGUUCUGCUUUAGUAAGUUAUAAAAGUAAUUUAUUUAGCUUAUCAAGGCAAAUUUAGAGCUGCCUUAUAGUGAUUUUUGCCAAGCCACAUAAAUAAAGUUGUAAGUUGAGUGACUCUACUAACUUUAUUAUGAAAUUAAAGUGAAUAAAAUUUACUUGGUAGAUGUGUUGGUCUGGAAAAAUAAUGUAGCAACAAAACCAAGGAUUGCUCUUAGGUUUCAAGGCAACAAACUGCGGCAUUUUCCCCACUUUCUG